GACGAACGCUGGCGGCGUGCUUAACACAUGCAAGUCGAACGGCAAGGCACUGCUUUUGUGGGGUGCUCGAGUGGCGAACGGGUGAGUAACACGUGAGUAACCUGCCCUUGACUUUGGGAUAACUUCAGGAAACUGGGGCUAAUACCGUAUCGGAGCUCCUGCUGCAUGGUGGGGGUUGGAAAGUUUCGGCUGUUGGGGAUGGACUCGCGGCUUAUCAGCUUGUUGGUGGGGUAGUGGCUUACCAAGGCUUUGACGGGUAGCCGGCCUGAGAGGGUGACCGGCCACAUGGGGACUGAGAUACGGCCCAGACGCCAACGGGAGGCAGCAGUGGGGAAUAUUGCACAAUGGGCGGAAGCGGGAUGAAGCAACGCCGCGGGCGGGAUGACGGCCUUCGGGUAGUAAAACGCUGUCGCCUGUGACGAAGCGGUAGUGACGGUAAUGAGUAAAGAAGCACCGGCUAACUACGUG
rnacentral:rRNA from 1 species